UGAGGUAGUUUUUUGUACAGUU
rnacentral:miRNA from 2 species